rnacentral:snoRNA from 1 species
UCCCUCCCUGGAAGGGGUGAUGUGUCAGCACAGAGCCCAAGAUAAGGACUCUGACUGCGUUUGUGUGUGAUGAAACUUACCGAGUGCUCUGACCUUCCACGGCGUGGG